GCUAAUCAUAUUUUCAAGAAUUUUGUGAGCCAAUUGACCUAACAUUGGCACCUUGAAGUUGACCUUUAUGGGAUUAUUUACAGCAUGGAAACUGGAAAUGCUGCAAAUCAGGACUUCCCUGCCCAGGCAGUUGUUAAACGUAAACUACUGCCUCCACUCCAUUCUUCCCUUCUCAAGAUGUGAGCAGAACCAUGGAGGAUCGUGUGUCAGGAUUAGAUUCAGCAGUAGUCAAAUUUAUCGGUCUUUCCCCUUGAUCACAGCUGGAUUUUUAGCUAUAAUGAUGAAAGUCAUCUUCACUCCCAAGUUAUAGAGCAAGUCAUCCAUGUUUUUCCCCUGGUACUUAUAUGACUUCUUUUUUUUUACAUUCUCUAUGGAAUUUAUGCUUUUGUAUGCUAUGAUAAAUGGAUCAAAUUUUAUCCUGUUUCAUGUAGAGUCUCAAAUUUGGCAUUACUAGCUCCUUUCCCCUGCUCCCUUCAGCUUACCUUUUCCUAGACAUUUUAUUCUUUUCUAAAACUUUGCCAAAAAUGGACAUGGACCAAAAUAAACAUCCGUUCAACUGCCUGCAUGUGAUUCCAUUUUGCUGCCUGUUUUUUCUUUCCUGGACUCUGUGAUUUCUGCACAGUGUUUUUCCAGUGGUUCAAGUGGGUUAUGACCUUUGGAGCUUCAGGAAGAGUGGACUGAAGACCUGUCCAGAGAGUGAUUCAAGCUGGAGCAGGAAAUUCGAAAAGUCACGUAGCUGGAGCGUGUGCAAAAGAGGAAAUCCUAAUCUGAAAUGACUGAGGAACCGAAGAUCCUCCUUUCCACAGAACUCAAGGAGUGGGACCCGAUGGGAACUUGAAAGUUGGACUCCUAUCAGAAUUGAAGGGUCAGGAAGAGCCGGUGUUAAAUUUCCUUCCCAAUCUCAUCAAAAAGCUUAGAACUCCAUCAUAAAAGUUGAGGACCUCGUAAUAAAUGUUUAGAACCCUGUCAUCAAUGUUUAAAAUCUUACCAUAAAUGUCUGAAGCCCACCAAUCAAAACCCAUAUUGCCAGCGUUUCUUCAUGCCAGCCUGUCCUCUCUAACCUCUUCCAUUUUGCCCCAAAUCCUGAAUCAGGGAGACAGGACUGAAGGCACAUGCCCCCUGUCUCCUUGCAGAUCGAUCUCACAGAAUAAAACUGAUUUCUCCCC
rnacentral:lncRNA from 1 species